GUCGAGCGAACGGACGAGAAGCUUGCUUCUCUGAUGUUAGCGGCGGACGGGUGAGUAACACGUGGAUAACCUACCUAUAAGACUGGGAUAACUUCGGGAAACCGGAGCUAAUACCGGAUAAUAUUUUGAACCGCAUGGUUCAAAAGUGAAAGACGGUCUUGCUGUCACUUAUAGAUGGAUCCGCGCUGCAUUAGCUAGUUGGUAAGGUAACGACUUACCAAGGCAACGAUGCAUAGCCGACCUGAGAGGGUGAUCGGCCACACUGGAACUGAGACACGGUCCAGACUCCUACGGGAGGCAGCAGUAGGGAAUCUUCCGCAAUGGGCGAAAGCCUGACGGAGCAACGCCGCGUGAGUGAUGAAGGUCUUCGGAUCGUAAAACUCUGUUAUUAGGGAAGAACAUAUGUGUAAGUAACUGUGCACAUCUUGACGGUACCUAAUCAGAAAGCCACGGCUAACUACGUGCCAGCAGCCGCGGUAAUACGUAGGUGGCAAGCGUUAUCCGGAAUUAUUGGGCGUAAAGCGCGCGUAGGCGGUUUUUUAAGUCUGAUGUGAAAGCCCACGGCUCAACCGUGGAGGGUCAUUGGAAACUGGAAAACUUGAGUGCAGAAGAGGAAAGUGGAAUUCCAUGUGUAGCGGUGAAAUGCGCAGAGAUAUGGAGGAACACCAGUG
rnacentral:rRNA from 1 species